GGCUCGAUACUGACACUGAGAUGCGAAGCGUGGGGAUCAACAGGAUUAGAUACCCUGGUAGUCACGCCGUAAACGAUGGAUACUGGUGUGAGGUAUGACCCGUCAGUGACGUAGCUAACGCGUUAAGUAUCCCGCCUGGGGAGUACGGUCGCAAGAUUAAAACUCAAAGAAAUUGACGGGGGCCCGCACAAGCGGUGGAGCAUGUGGUUCAAUUCGAUGCAACGCGAAAAACCUUACCUAGAUUUGACAUACUGUGGAAGACUCCUGAAAACAGGGUCGCCUUCGGGCCGCAGUACAGGUGCUGCAUGGCUGUCGUCAGCUCGUGUCGUGAGAUGUUGGGUUAAGUCCCGCAACGAGCGCAACCCUUAUCUUUAGUUGCCAGCAUUUAGUUGGGCACUCUAAAGAGACUGCCGACGUUAAGUCGGAGGAAGGUGGGGAUGACGUCAAGUCCUCAUGGCCUUUAUAUCUAGGGCUACACACGUGCUACAAUGGUUACUACAAAGGGGUGCAAAACCGCGAGGUCAAGCAAAUCCCAAAAAGGUAAUCUAAGUUCGGAUUGGAGUCUGCAACUCGACUCCAUGAAGCUGGAAUCGCUAGUAAUCGUGGAUCAGCAUGCCACGGUGAAUACGUUCCCGGGCCUUGUACACACCGCCCGUCACACCAUGAAAGCUGGUUUUACCAGAAGUCGCUGUGCCAACCGCAAGGGGGCAGGCGCCCAAGGUAUGAUUAGUGAUUGGGGUGAAGUCGUAACAAGGUAGCCGUAA
rnacentral:rRNA from 1 species